rnacentral:rRNA from 1 species
AGAAUCAACGCUGGCGGCGUGCCUCAGACAUGCAAGUCGAACGCGAAAGUCCCCUUCGGGGGGCAAGUAGAGUGGCGCACGGGUGAGUAACACGUAGGUAAUCUACCUUUGGAUGGGGAAUAACAACCGGAAACGGUUGCUAAUACCGCAUAAUGCAGCGGCACCUAAUGGUGACAGUUGUUAAAGCGGGGGAUCGAAAGACCUCGCGUCUGAAGAGGAGCCUGCGGCGGAUUAGCUAGUUGGUAGGUAACGGCCUACCAAGGCUACGAUCC